UCAGCUGAAAUUCCCGAUCCGGGAUACAUCGAUGGCGUCGUGUUUUGUCCUGGAAUAAUUAUUAAUUCGGGCUAGUUGCAACUCGGUGGUGCCGCUGUGGCUUGCCCCGCGGUCUUUGCUUCCAAAACCGAUACAUUUUCAAUCGGUCCUUUGAUGAGAAAUCUCUCUGCGUGUGGGUAAACACCACUCGGUUUUCAUGAACAAGCGCUGCUGUAACUAAAUUAAUUGUAAUGAUCUCAUGGAAGGAAAGGGACGUUUAUAUUUAUAUCGUGUGUCCACGUUUAUUCGAAAGUUGAAAUAUCGACGACAAGGGAAUAAAUUAAUAUUUAAUAGUCACAGUCAAAAUCGUGCAACGCAUUUGAAAACAUGUUUUGAAGCAGUUGGUCAUUGAAUGCGGGCCAAAAUUUUGGAUUUGGCAUCGUGGACCUAAUUAUCUUCUAUCAAUUGUUCUAUUUACCUACCGGAAGCCAGACACCUUUUUCUAGGCGAAUUUGGAAAGUGACGUUAUGGACCAAGAAUUAAUAACUAGAUAUCAUUAUUAUUUAUUAUUAUCAUUAUUAUUACUUAUAUUAUUAUUAUUAUUAUUAUUACU